rnacentral:rRNA from 1 species
GAUGAACGCUAGCGGCAGGCCUAACACAUGCAAGUCGAGGGGCAGCACAGAAACAGCAAUGUUUUGGUGGCGACCGGCGGACGGGUGCGUAACGCGUAUGCAACCUACCUUUAACAGGGGGAUAACGGAGAGAAAUUUCCACUAAUACCCCAUAACAUCGAUCAAGGCAUCUUGAUUGGUUGAAAACUCCGGUGGUUAAAGAUGGGCAUGCGUUGUAUUAGGUAGUUGGUGAGGUAAUGGCUCACCAAGCCUACGAUACAUAGGGGGACUGAGAGGGUAGCCCCCCACACUGGUACUGAGACAAGGACCAGACUCCUACGGGAGGCAGCAGUGAGGAAUAUUGGUCAAUGGGGGCAACCCUGAACCAGCCAUGCCGCGUGCAGGAAGACGGCUCUAUGAGUUGUAAACUGCUUUUAAACAGGGAUAAAGCACAGUAUGUAUACUGUGUUGAAGGUACUGUAAGAAUAAGGAUCGGCUAACUCCGUGCCAGCAGCCGCAGUAA